CAUGGUUUUUUUGAUUAUAAUUUAAAAUCUGGUCUGCUCAAUGAUUAUUUAAAUUGCCGCAGUAUUUUAAUUGUGCAAAGGUAGCAUAAUAAUUAGUUUCUUGAUUAGAAGCUGGAAUGAAUGAUUGGACGAUAAAAUAACUGUCUCUAUGUAAUUAUUUGGUUAAUUUUAUUUUUAAGUUAAAAGGCUUAAAUUUAUUUAAAAGACGAGAAGACCCUAUAGAGUUUUAUAAUAUUAUGAGUUUUGUAAUUAGAAUUUUUUUGUUUGUUUUAUUAUUUGGUUGGGGUGACUUUAAAAUAUAAAUAAUUUUUAAAAUAUUUAAUUUUUGAUGUGAAAAUUUUUAAUCUAUAUUUUUAAAUAUAAUAUAAAUUACCUUAGGGAUAACAGCGUAAUUUUUUUUUAAAGUUCUUAUUGAAAAAAAAGUUUGCGACCUCGAUGUUGGAUUAAAAUUAAGUUUAGGUGUAGUAGCUUAAAUAUUAAGUCUGUUCGACUUUUUAAAUUUUACAUGAUCUGAGUUUAGACCGGCGUGAGCCAGGUUGGAUUCUAUCUUUAAUUUUAUAAAAUAUUUUAGUACGAAAGGACCAAUUAUUAGUUAAAUUAAUUG
rnacentral:rRNA from 1 species